GCCUGCCUGCUCAUCAAUCUAUGAGAAUAGACAUCACCACCUAGCUACCCACCUACCUAUCAAUGCAGGCUUACUGGCUGGCCACCUGCCUGCCUGCCUACCUGCCUAUCUAUCUACUGACCUGCUUGAAUGAAUGACAUCCACUGAUGAUAUCUAUUGAUGAUAUCUAGCGAUGAUAUCUGCAAUGGUGCCUACCAAUGAUGAUAUUGACGAUGAUAUAUAUUGACGCGAUGCUCAUCAACAACUGUGUCAACAAGUCCUCUGAACUUCAAUGUUGUCCUUCCAUGGUAUAUAUCUAAUAAGUGAGAUUAUCACUCCAUGUCAUCUUCAUCUCUUCAAUCAUCUUACCAUGCCAUGCGCCGGGACCAUUUGGAAUCUUCUUUAUGAACAUACAAUCCUCGUCUGCAAUAAUGUCUAUUGAUGAUAUCUAGUGAUGAUGUAUAUUGAUGAUAUAUAUAAUAUCUAAGCGCUUGGCUUUUCUGAGCUUAUUGCUCCGUCUGGCACUCAGCUACAUGUUUCAUGAAGCUCCUGCUAUAUACAUAUAUCUAAUGACUAUUUAUUUAACAGUGCAAUUGCUCCUAGUAGUCAUAUCAGGUAUGGCAAAGGCCAUUCAUGAUUAUAUAGG
rnacentral:sRNA from 2 species